rnacentral:lncRNA from 10 species
AGAGGACUGGAGACCCUCACACAGCCUACAGCUUCUCUGCUCAGGGAGGGGGCUCAAGGUGAAAUCUGAUGGCACACUGGAGCGUGUCCGUGAGCGGAGGAGGGAAGUGCAAUGGGUGUGUUCACCUUUCCUUGCUGCCCAUUAAUGCAGCAUGCUCAUGAUGCCCCAGAUGCCCCAUGAAUGUGGAAUUGUGAGGGACCCGCCAGCAUGGGAGUUCAGAGAGGCUCAAAGUGAGUCCAAGGUAAGUCAUAUUUUCUAUCCAAACCAGGAUUUGCAUCAAAUGAAGAAAGAAGGCACCAGGAUUCUAACAGACACCAGGGCAAGGGACCCCCUCACAUCCUUCCUUACUCGUGUUGCUUCCCUGCAUUGGCCAACUAUGCCCAUUGAAAUUGGUGUUUAGGAGGAAAGGGGAGGGCAGGGCCCAGAUUUCCCGUUCCUCUCAGUCCCCCUCAUUCCCUGUGAGAGGAAGG